UACGUAGGGUGCAAGCGUUAAUCGGAAUUACUGGGCGUAAAGCGUGCGCAGGCGGUUGUGCAAGACAGAUGUGAAAUCCCCGGGCUCAACCUGGGAACUGCAUUUGUGACUGCACGGCUUGAGUGCGGCAGAGGGGGAUGGAAUUCCGCGUGUAGCAGUGAAAUGCGUAGAUAUGCGGAGGAACACCGAUGGCGAAGGCAAUCCCCUGGGCCUGCACUGACGCUCAUGCACGAAAGCGUGGGGAGCAAACAGG
rnacentral:rRNA from 1 species